AGGGAAAGUUGAAAAGAACUUUGAAGAGAGAGUUCAAGAGUACGUAAAACCGUUCAGGGGUAAACCUGAGAAACCCAAAUGGUCGAAUAGAGGACGAGAUUCAUUUACUUUUUAUCGUAUAUUAACCAACUUGUACGUUAUAUGUGACAAUAAUNCAAGUUCAUUUUUUCCUCUCAUAUCAUUUUUAUAUUUUAUUAUUUUUUUGUAAUAUGUAUAAUUCAAUUGGUAUGUUGCAUGGAUGAAAUGAAUAAAUUGCACAUUUGUAUGUUGCAGUAUAAUAACGAGGUAUGCACUUCUCGUUCUAUAUAGGACGUCGCGACUCAUUAAAUAUUGAUCUAUAGAAUGUUUUUGUGCAUUGACUGUUAUAUGAAAUGGUUUUCGGAUUAUUUUAUCUAUAUAAUAGAUGCCUACGUUGCUUGAUUAAUUGUUUGAUGGUAURAAAUAGACAAUUUUAAUGGCCAAGUGUAAUAUUUUUAUAAUAUUACACGUUCAUUUACCAUAGACGAGUUCAAAAUGGGCUACGAUAAAAUUUCCAACCUUAACGCGGGYAGGGAAUUAAAGUAGCAUUUUAUUUAUUUUUGGUUUUC
rnacentral:rRNA from 1 species